AGUUAACGCAUUAAGUGAACCGCCUGGGGACUACGGCCGCAAGGCUAAAACUCAAGAGAAUUGACGGGGCCCUGCACAAGCGGUGGAGCACGUGGUUUAAUUCGACGAUAAGCGAAGAACCUUANCCUGGGCUUGACAUGCUAGCAGUAGGAGCCAGAGAUGGUAACGACCCCUACCUUUGGUAGGGGAACUAGUACAGGUGAUGCAUGGCUGUCGUCAGCUCGUGUCGUGGGACGUUGGGUUAAGUCCCGAAACGAGCGCAACCCCUGUUGUUAGUCGCCAGCGGGUAAUGCCGGGGUCUCUAACAAGACUGCUGGUGAAUAGCCGGAGGAAGGAGGGGAUGACGUCAAGUCAUCAUGUCCCUUAUGUCCAGGGCGACACACAUGCUACAAUGGGAGGUACAAUGGGCUGCUAAACCGCAAGGUCAUGCGAAUCCCAAAAAGCCUUCCUCAGUUCGGAUUGAGGUCUGCAACCCGACCUCAUGAAGCCGGAAUCGCUAGUAAUCGCAGGUCAGCCACACUGCGGUGAAUAUGUACUCAGGGCUUG
rnacentral:rRNA from 1 species